AGUCACUCUAAGCUGUUUCCCAG
rnacentral:misc_RNA from 1 species